rfam:Coriobacteriaceae bacterium BV3Ac1 contig00006, whole genome shotgun sequence.
ACAACUCGAUAGGGGGGCUGGCGCACGCCGGCUGAGAUUGGGUCCACUGCGACCCUGACCCGUAGACCUGAUCUGGGUAAUGCCAGCGUAGGGACCAGCGUAUACGAAGGGUC